rnacentral:sRNA from 1 species
ACGUGUGAGGUUAGUCUUGCUGAGAUAUUCCACCCCAUUGACCAGCUCAUCUGGCCAGCUGUGUAGGUGUUCUUGUCUCCCAUCUCCACUCUAUGGGCACCCAUCUUAAAGCUGCAUACUGGAUCAAAGAUGAUUGCUCUCUGUUCAGGGGUACAGGAGUAACCUGUUCACCCUGACUAGAGCCUCAAAACAAGCCUCAAACUUAGUAAACACAACAUUAAAGCUUAAAAUACUAGGUAUGGUUUUCAGAUUAUUGUUGAUGUAAUGGCAUAAACAAAGAACCCACAUAAGGAAGGAAAGCUUGUGUUUG